UACGUAGGGCGCAAGCGUUGUCCGGAAUUAUUGGGCGUAAAGAGCUCGUAGGCGGUUUGUCGCGUCUGCUGUGAAAACCUAAGGCUCAACCUUGGGCUUGCAGUGGGUACGGGCAGACUAGAGUGCGGUAGGGGGAGAUUGGAAUUCCUGGUGUAGCGGUGGAAUGCGCAGAUAUCAGGAGGAACACCAAUGGCGAAGGCAGAUCUCUGGGCCGUAACUGACGCUGAGGAGCGAAAGCAUGGGGAGCGAACAGG
rnacentral:rRNA from 1 species